UACGAAGGGGGCUAGCGUUGUUCGGAUUUACUGGGCGUAAAGCGCACGUAGGCGGAUCGUUAAGUCGGGGGUGAAAUCCUGGAGCUCAACUCCAGAACUGCCUUCGAUACUGGCGAUCUUGAGUCCGGAAGAGGUGAGUGGAACUCCUAGUGUAGAGGUGGAAUUCGUAGAUAUUAGGAAGAACACCAGUGGCGAAGGCGGCUCACUGGUCCGGUACUGGACGCUGAGACGCGAAAGUGUGGGGAGCGAACGAG
rnacentral:rRNA from 1 species